CCUACGGGUGGCAGCAGUGGGGAAUAUUGCACAAUGGGCGAAAGCCUGAUGCAGCGACGCCGCGUGAGCGAAGAAGGACUUCGGGACGUAAAGCUCUAUCAGCAGGGAAGAAAAUGACGGUACUUGAGGAAGAAGCCCCGGCUAACUACGUGCCAGCAGCCGCGGUAAUACGUAGGGGGCUAGCGUUAUCCGGAUUUACUGGGCGUAAAGGGAGCGUAGGUGGUUGCUAAGGUCAGAGGUGAAAGGCUCAGGCUAAACCGUAGUAAGCCUUUGAAAAUGGGGAACUUGAGUGCAGGAGAGGAGAGCGGAAUUCCUAGUGUAGCGGUGAAAUGCGUAGAUAUUAGGAGGAACACCAGUUGCGAAGGCGGCUUUCUGGACUGUAACUGACGCUGAGGCACGAAAGCGUGGGGAGCAAACAGGAUUAGAUACCCGUGUAGUC
rnacentral:rRNA from 1 species